UACGUAGGGGGCGAGCGUUAUCCGGAUUUACUGGGUGUAAAGGGAGCGUAGACGGUUCUGCAAGUCUGAAGUGAAAGCCCGUGGCUUAACCGCGGAACGGCUUUGGAAACUGUGGAACUGGAGUGCUGGAGAGGCAAGCGGAAUUCCUAGUGUAGCGGUGAAAUGCGUAGAUAUUAGGGGGAACACCAGUGGCGAAGGCGGCUUGCUGGACAGUAACUGACGUUGAGGCUCGAAAGCGUGGGGAGCAAACAGG
rnacentral:rRNA from 1 species